UCGACACCAGGACUGACGAGGGCCAAUGAGCAGCUUCUUCUCUCCCAGAGUUUCCUCGACACAUGAAGGAGGAAAGUGUCUGGAAAGUGACCUGAAGAGACUUCAGCAGCAGGUGAGGACUCUGCUAUGAGUCAGUGUGAGGACAGAGAGGAGGGAGCCCCUCCCUCUAAAACCACUCUGGGUGGGGACCAUGACAGCCAGACCAAAGCUCAGAGGAUGCAGCAGCAGAAACCUGGACCUGAACCCAGCUGUGUGUCCAUGAAGAGUGAUCGGUCUAUGGGUCGUCUUAUUAACUUUAAAG